rnacentral:rRNA from 1 species
UACGUAGGCAGCAAGCGUUGUUCGGAGUUACUGGGCGUAAAGGGUGCGUAGGCGGUCCUAUAAGUAUGGUGUGAAAUCUCCCGGCUUAACUGGGAGGGUGCGCUAUAGACUGUGGGACUAGAGUGUGGGAGAGGAAAGUGGAAUUCCUGGUGUAGCGGUGAAAUGCGUAGAUAUCAGGAGGAACACCGGUGGUGUAAACGGCUUUCUGGACCAUAACUGACGCUGAGGAGCGAAAGCAUGGGGAGCGAACAGG